AUUGAACGCUGGCGGCAUGCUUUACACAUGCAAGUCGAACGGCAGCACGGGGGCAACCCUGGUGGCGAGUGGCGAACGGGUGAGUAAUGCAUCGGAACGUGCCCCGUCGUGGGGGAUAACACAUCGAAAGAUGUGCUAAUACCGCAUACGACCUGAGGGUGAAAGCGGGGGACCGCAAGGCCUCGCGCGAUGGGAGCGGCCGAUGUCUGAUUAGCUAGUUGGUGGGGUAAAGGCCUACCAAGGCGACGAUCAGUAGCUGGUCUGAGAGGACGACCAGCCACACUGGGACUGAGACACGGCCCAGACUCCUACGGGAGGCAGCAGUGGGGAAUUUUGGACAAUGGGGGCAACCCUGAUCCAGCCAUGCCGCGUGCGGGAAGAAGGCCUUCGGGUUGUAAACCGCUUUUGGCAGGAACGAAACGGUGCGGGCGAAUACCCUGUGCUAAUGACGGUACCUGCAGAAUAAGCACCGGCUAACUACGUGCCAGCCGCCGCGGUAAUAC
rnacentral:rRNA from 1 species